GGGGGCGAAGGGUUUCGACGGGGGAAGCACAAGCAGGAGCUGCCAGGCGAGAUCCCACCAACUCGUAAAACGGUGGACCCAAAUAAGUGCCGAAGAAAAUUACGCAUUAGCUGCUUAAUUAAAGCAGCUACAUCCAACCUGCUGACGCCCGCUAGGCGGGAUUGGGUGUCGACUGAGCGGGAUACCUUAAGCUUCUCGCUCACGGAAGCUUAAGGGAAACUCCAGUGAGCUAGUCGGAAAGCAUCCUGUCCCCGGGAGGCGUUCCGACGAACAGCAAAACGGGGACUAUCCUGGUAGACGCUCUUGUGGGUGUUCCUUCGGACGGGGGUUCGAUUCCCCCCGCCUCCACCA
rnacentral:tmRNA from 1 species